rnacentral:lncRNA from 1 species
GAGGUGUGGACCAGGGAACUAGGAAAGCUGUUCAGUACAUGCCUGUGGAGGGCCAGUGUUUCUCUGUGGAGAGAAGGAGGACGAAUUGUUUAGCUCACCUUAAAGGUUCAGGGCAAAGAGACCACUUUUUCAUGUGUGUGUGUGCAGGCGAGGGAAGAGGAAUGGUUCUGGAGCGCUGUGAUUCUUUCUGUCCAAGGCUGGUGCUGUGUGCUGUGCGUGGGUGGAUAGAGAGGGAAGCAGAGCGCAGGAAUGGCAGCAGAGAGCAGAGGGAAGUUAGGGACCUCUGUCCAAGUGAGGAUGACAGGCCCUAACUGAGGAAACAGCCAGAUGCAGUUUUGUGAUUGAAGCAGAAUCUACCUGGGGGCUGAGACAGGGCCCCAAAGGUGAAAGCAGGCUAGGACUGUCCUAUUUGUAGCAGGAUGGCCAGUCAGAAGCUGAGCUUGGGAGGAGAGGCGGGAAGAUUAACCCCUAGCAGUCAGCUACUUCUGCUCAAGAUCAGAGAGGCUAAAAUGGAGGUUCACCUGCUUGCAAAAGAGAGAGUCCAACUUGACAGGCUGCGUAUGGAGACCGAGAUCUGAAAACAGAACCGCCCCCUCCCAACCCACCCAGGGUUUUGGCCCUCUGAUCUCCUGGGCCAGACACCAUGCUGUCUACUCUGCAGAGGGCUCUGGAGAGCUGAGCUGCCAAGCCCACGUUCACACACGUGCUCACGCACAGCGGGGCUCUGUUCAGCCAGCCCUAGAGUAUUUUAAGUACAGAGUGGAGGGGGUGACUGUAUGUGUCGCAUGGUGACUCAUCCUGGCAGCAGAAACUGUGCCGUGUUGAGGAAAAUGGCUCAAUGGCAGGCUCUGUUUGCAGUAGAAAGCAGCCGAGGUGCACAGCUCUGCCAUGGAGGGCAAAGAGGCCUGGAAGAGAAGAGCACCGGGAAAUGCUGGACCUGUCACGUCACAGAGGGGGAUGUGGGUGGAUUCCUGGCUAACGCCUAACACAGGCCUGAACGCCCAAAGUGUCCAUCACCGCGCCCUGUGCCCCACAGAGCAUCAUUCUGUGCUGCACGAUGGACCCUGCGUGUUGAUAGAAAAACAAAUCAUGCUCUGGAAUGGUUCUGGUUUCUUAAAGAAGCCAGAGACCCUGAAUGGGGACAAGUAGAAAUAUCUCUUCAUUGCUUUCACUGAAGUCAUUCUGGCACUUUCCUGUUUCACUGGGUCUGUAAUUGAAUUCUUGUCCUGGGUGAGGAUAUAGUAUGAAAAUACUGAAGAAGGAGCUUUUUUAGCAAGGCCCACUUGGUAAAGUGGACUAUUCCUGCCAUCAGUGGAAGUCACAGGUUACCUGCUAGCCACCUGAGUCAUCAGGCCCUGACUGCAGACUUCCAGAAGUUGCUUUCUGCUCUGCUGUUUCCUAACUUGUAAGUCAGGAAGCUGCCCCAGCCCCAGGUGGAAUGGCGACAUAGCAUUCUUGCUGGGCCUUCUGAAUCACGAACUGAGUCCUCCAUGGAACCCUAGGUCUGAUUUCAAGCCUCCAAACUUAAUAAGACAAAUAUUCACCUAUGAGAGACAUCCCAACCUAUGAGCUGAUAAACUUUAAUCUUUUAAUUGUUUUAAACUUUAAUUGUUUUCUUGAAAAAAAAAUUGAAGUAUACUGUGCUCUGGACUUGACAAUGCGCGUGGUCAGCCACACUCAGUGAGGCCUAAACACGGGAUUCAACAGAUGGAGGGAAAGCCCUUUAAAGCAAGAGUCCUACCCAGCGUUUCUGUCUUUCUUUCUGCCCACCCAGUUGCUCUUUUUACUUCACUCUAAAGAUUUCCUCUUUCUAAGAUUCCCUUCUGCUCUCUCCCUUCUUGAGGGAGGGCUCCUAUCUUUUCCAAGGAUCAUAGAUUCUUUACCUUCCAAGGAGUUUUUCGCUUUCUCCAGUUGCCCCAGGACCCACCUCC